UCAUCCAAUGAAUUAACAAAAUGAUGACAUAUAUUUUUAAAAAUUAAAAAUUUGAGGCAUCUAUCAUUGGUGGUUAAUUCAUAAACUGCUUCCGACCGUAGGAUCAUCAUGAGAACGGUGCUCGAUCCAGAUAGAUUGAUGUACAGAUUGCUUCUUUAUGGAUAGACAAGUCUCGAAUCUACAGUGUGAGGAUACUAAGCGAGAGUGCAGAUGCUUGUUAGGGAAUAAGGAUGCUG
rnacentral:lncRNA from 1 species